GUGUGUUUGCUUCAUCUACACGUUUACUAAAAUUGAAACAAUACAGAGAAGAUUAGCAUGAACCCUGUGUUGAGUGUCUGAUGAUAUUCAGAUUUGUGAAGCAUUCCAUUU
rfam:Calypte anna contig26931, whole genome shotgun sequence.